rnacentral:tRNA from 1 species
AAUGAAGUGCCUGACUAAAGGAUUAUUUUGAUAGAAUAAAUCAUGUAUUAAUAUACCUUCAUUA